rnacentral:lncRNA from 1 species
UUUUUUUGGUAGUUCUGUAUUACUUGUACCCUUACACUGCUUUGCUUUGUUUUGUUUUGUUUUUUCUCUUUUUCCUUUUAAAUAAAAUUUAAAAAAAAACAAGAGUGGAAGGAGGUCCUCAAACAUAAUAGCUGUUUUAUCUUUAUUUUUUGUACUAGAAAUGAAACUUGACAUUUUGUACCUGCCAGGCAGUCACUGUGCCACUGAACCAUAUCCUUGGCCCUGAUCUGUUAUGAUCCAACUGGAGGCCUAGAGCACACAACAGUGACUCAUGCAAGUCUCUUUCAUGAAUCUGCGCUGGGAAGGCCCCAAGGUGAGUGGUGGAAGCUAGAAUGUCUGUGCAAGUGAGAUGAAGGAUGUGUGCCAGCAGGCGGAGCGUUCUUCGCUGGAGCCAAGAAGCAAUGCUGUAAACGAGGAUCCGGGAUUCCAAAAAGUAACACAGCUAUUCUCAGUGACAAGUUUCUGACUUCCUCUGAUGAUGAAAAACAGCUGAGUUCAUAACAGGAAGCCAGAAUGACAAGCUUCUCCUGAAGACUGAACUGCACACAAUCCUCCCCUCUGGAGCUAGGAAGCAAUAAAGACCAGUGCUUCCCCAAAGUGAACCACAGCCAUUCUCAGCAACAAGGUCCUGAGCUCCUCUGCCAAUGAGAACAGCCAAGUUCAUAUCAGGAAAGAAGCUCAGCAAGUUCCUCCAGGAGAACCCACGGCAAUAGUAGAACCAGCAGCGCCAAACAACAGCUCUUCCUCUUAUUUAUGCUGGCAACAAUCCUCAGAAAUUUGUACAACAACAUGAAAGCAAACAUUGAAAAUAUAGAGAAGCCAUGCUGGGUCUGGGAGGAGAACAUCAAGCCACUUUGUCCUUCCAGUAAACUGUGCAAAUGAUAAGGAGCUCAGGAAGUGAGAAGCCAGAUGGGCCUCCCUGUGAGUCAGCAAAAGCCAUGCUGUGUCUGUGAGUAUCCCACCAGUCAGUUCACCCUUCCUGUAAGCCACACAGAGACCAAGUUUGUCCUUCCUGUGAGCUGACCAGCGUAUGGACUGAGAAUCAAGAACCCUCCUCCUCAUAAGCAACCAGCUGGUGCAGAGGACAGGCUGAGUUGAUAGCAACUGAGGUACAAAAAACAACUAAAUUCCUUUACUGUUUGUUUGACUUUGCAGGCCC